ensembl:lncRNA
AAUUCCUCUGUGCAGAAAAAAUGGCACCCAUUGACAUUUAUUGAUGUUUGCUGAACUCUCUGGAGACAAAAUAGUGGACGUGAGCACAGUGAAGAGGUGGGUGGUGCAAUUUGGCAGUGGAGACAGUGACAUGAAAGACAAGCCUCGUUCCAGACAGCUGUGUACAGCUGUCACACUGCAAAAUGAAGAGUAUCUCCAUAAGCUCAUCUGUGAAAAUUGGCUAAUAGUGGUGACCAUGCUGGAAAAAUAGUGUUUGUUGCUGAGGGAUUCCCUCUAUCAAAUAUUGUUAUUUUGUUCUUUGUAUCUGUUGCAGUUUCCACAGAAACAAAUAGGAAGCAUUACUUUUGGAAUGACCUACAUUUGUAAUCAUUAUUUGGGCCCAGUUCUGAGUUCAAUAGAAGACACAGUCUGGGAAAGCACAUGCUGUUCAGAGGCUUAAUGGCAAUUCUCUAGGAUCCUGACAUUUCAAGAAAUAGCGUAUCAAGAAUGGUAAGUACUCUUACAUCUUUGAUAAAAGAUUUCUCAGUGUGGUAUGUGGCUUAAAUAAAUGUAGGCUAUCUCACUUUUUUCUCAGGUUACAUCUGUUUGUAUUUUCAGCAGAAGCCAAAGGAGUUCCUGCACAUUUCAAACAGAAGAUAAUAUAUGAUCCUGGGAUGUAUCUUCAUAGGCCCACUGCCCACCUGUAUGAGUAUUUUUAUAGUCUUCAGCCAACCCUGAGCCAGCAGUUUUCCACCUUUCUGUCAAAAACAUUUUUUGAGUAAACAUUGCAAGACAAAAGUAUGUUUGACUAGAGUCACUCAAGCUCCAUCUGAAGAGGUAAAUUACGUCUUCAUUGUGAAAUGACAAAGGUAAAAGAGAGAGGCACAAGUGUGAGUGAGGGUGACGGUUAUUUCUCCCUGUUUGUGGGUGACUACAAAGGAUUCUCUCCUCACAGCACCCACUAAACUGAGCUGUAGUGGUUGAAGCCUGGAGAAAAGAAACAGCAAGAGAAAUAUGAGAGUCACAUGCAAAUAAGAGGAACUUACGACCUGCUCAGAAAGAGGGAAGAUGUCACAAGGGAUAGUAAAAGACAACUCACAUUUCCAGAUACCAAAUACAAAGUUAAAGCUGAUAUUGGACCCAGGUUCUUUUUGGAGCAAUAGAACAAAAGGCAACAGAUACAAAUGGGAGCACAGAAAAUUCUGUGAAUCUCUGUGAGCUGUAAGAACUUUUUUCCUUCUUUUGAGAGAGGAAGGAUACUACUGAUGGGG